GCCAGCGGUGAUAGCACGUUGAAUAAACCAGUUCCUAAUAGAUAACUGAAGUUAAGCAACGUAGUGCGAGGUUGGUAUCCGGAUCGAUGACAGGGUUAUCGCGUGCUUACUUGGCC
rfam:Asian citrus Psyllid, Diaphorina citri - Florida Strain, whole genome shotgun sequence.